AACGAACGCUGGCGGCAUGCCUAACACAUGCAAGUCGAACGAGACCUUCGGGUCUAGUGGCGCACGGGUGCGUAACGCGUGGGAACCUGCCCUUAGGUUCGGAAUAACUCCCCGAAAGGGGUGCUAAUACCGGAUAAUGUCUUCGGACCAAAGAUUUAUCGCCUUUGGAUGGGCCCGCGUUGGAUUAGCUAGUUGGUAGGGUAAAAGCCUACCAAGGCGACGAUCCAUAGCUGGUCUGAGAGGAUGAUCAGCCACACUGGGACUGAGACACGGCCCAGACCCCUACGGGGGGCAGCAGGGGGGAAUUUUGGAAAAGGGGCGAAAGCCUGCUCCAGCAAUGCCGGGGGAGUGAUGAAGGCUUUGGGGUUGUAAAGCUCUUUUACCCGGGAUGAAAAUGAAAGGACCGGGAAAAUAAGCCCCGGCCAACCCCGU
rnacentral:rRNA from 1 species